ACUGCUUAUAUGAUGUUAUAGCUAUGUUCUUGCAUUUUUCCUCCUGUGAUUGAUUUCUAUGAUCAGAACAAUAGUUAAUAAGAACUGUUAAUGUAAUUCAAAUAUGUCAUACCUUGCUGUUUCCAAUCUGGUUAUAUGUAAUCAUUAUAUCCUAAAUACUUAGGCAAAUAAGUAUUUAGCCUGGUCAUCUGUCUGUUACUGGAUAUUUGUGUUUUAUUUUUAAAAUGUUUUUUUUAAAUGAUAAGAGGACAAUUUACAAUGGUCUGUGAAACCUAACUGCUAUUUAUUGGAACUAUAGCUAUCUGCCUGUCCUGUGAAGCAAACUUAUUCCUUCACACAGGAACUGCUGGCCAAUCUAUACUGGCCUCCCCACAUGUUGUUGCAGGUCCAGACUGUUCUAACUUUGUUAGAUUUGGUUUUUUGUUGUUCUAGAUUUUGGUCAAAUUACAGAUUAUUGAAUCUCUUCUGAGACAUGGAUCGGCCCAUCUGGAGCUUAGAUUGACACCACACCCACACCCCUGCAUGAAUUGAGCACCUUCGCCCAUUUCUCAGCCUGAAGCAGCUAAGAUCGAGACUAUCGCCAGUGCUCCUGAUGUAAUUUGGACUGAUAUGGGGGAAGUGGGAAAGUGGUUGAUGAAUUAUUGUUAAAAUUACAACUCUAUUACUAGAGUUAGAAAAAAUGCAAACAUUACUGUGUGUUUAAGAUUUGGGAUGGAAAUUAUUAAAAAUGGUAACUAUUGCUGUUAAGGAAGUUAUAAUAUGUUUAUAAUAUCUAUGUUCACUUCAGAAUAUGUAAUUGUUUAAGGUAUUUGAUUUGAUUUGAUUUGAUUGAUUUUAGGAAACUCCUCCUGUACUAGACUGUUAUGUAUGUAGGAACUUUAAUUCACUCUUGGGAUUUAUAUGUGGAUGGUUAUUUGACUAUUUAUUAUUAUUAUUUUUUGGAUGAUUCCUUUCCAUGAGGAAAAAAAAAAUGGAGAGGAAGAGAUAGGGAACUAGGGAAACUGGUGGAUUUUUCUCAAAAUACCUAAAAGAGUGGGAACCCUUAGUUUUCUUUCACUUUUGCCUUACGUACUUCUGCCCCACCCCCUAUACCACCAGUUCAGAUUAAAUUGGAAGUCCUUAAGCAAUCUUUUUUGUUUUUACUAUGUUUUAGCUUUGAAAUCCCUCAUUCUGUGGAAUUGCCCUGGCAGACUCAGUUUUGGGAACUAUUCUGUUUUAAAGAAAUCUCUAAGAUAAAGACACUUGUCUCAGGACUGGCAAUCUCCAGCUCUGUAACCCCAGUUUCUUAACUGGUACCUCAGCAUUUUUAAUAACAUUGCCCUUUUGAGAUCAAGCCUCUAAAGUUUGGGGUUUGCCUACCUUCAUGUUCUAACUGUGCAUGCUCUCAUAGCUCUGCUCAGAAAUCUGUAUUCUAGUAGCAGCCCUGUCUGUCCCCCUGGGUGGGGACAGGUGGAGCUACUCCAAGCCUCACCCUUCUCCCCUGGAGUGGGUUGCCCCUCUGAAUGGGCAGCAUGACUGUCUCGAGCCUUGCUACUCCCUCUAUAAGCAGAAGCUGAGUUAAGUGCACAAAUGACUGCAGACCCCCUAACACAGUGAACUGUCCAUCUCAAACUGGAUUCUCUGGCUGAGAUGAGGGCCUUUGUACUGCUGAUAACUCUGGGGUUGUCAGGAAGAGACUUGUCCUUGCCAUAAGUCCUUGCAUUUUCUAGGUUCAUUUUGAUUUAUUUGCCUCACAUUGGAUUGGUCAAAAUUAUGGUGCUGAGACCUCCCAGGUAUCUUAGGGAGGUAAUUCAAUAAUUCAAAUAUUCAGAAGAAGAGUGUGUAAUGUUGUGCCUCAGUUUCCCUAGUUGUCAUCUUUAUUUAUCUUUGUAUUUUUAUGUUUGCCAAAUGUCAAUCUGUUCUGUGAUAACUGUUUCUAAGAUAGUUGGUGGAAGCAAUUUUUAUGGUAUGAACUUAUUGCAAUCAAUGGUAUUAUCCUGUUGCUGCUAUGUCUAUCCUGUAUAAUUACAUUACUAACCAGAAUAGUUCAGUGGUCCCUAUCAAAAUAUUGCAUACAGAAGAUGCUAUUAAAAUGAUGAUUCUUCAGAGAAAAGACUGGAAUGUAUUAAAGAGGGAUGAUCUUGAUUGUGAACUUGAUAAACAAUGUAUAGAUAUAUUAACUGAUUUUGAAAAGUGUGUAAGUUCUUCAUAGAAAUAUGAUAAAAAUCAUUUACAUGUUAGAAGGGGGGAGCUGUGGGGAAUAGAUAAGGUGAAGAACUUACAGGAAUGUAUGAAUUCUUUUUCUGUAUUUUAUUAUUUCUGUGUCUCCCCUAUGACCUGUAUAUGUGCAGGCUCAUAUCUACUUGAGCCUUGGCCAGCUAGAAACAUAUUUACUUAACCUGAACUGAUGACAUUUAUUGGUAUUUGACAUUUAUCAAUAUUUAGUCUAUUAGCUGGACCACUGUCUGCUUGAUUAAGCCUGAAGGCCUGACUUUGUUUCCCAGAAAUCAGGAGAUUUCAGGGAAACAGAAACCUUCCAUUCCAAUCUCCCCAACUAGCAACAACCAAUUAGAUGCUUCCCCCUCCCCUUUCAAUGCUCUCUUACUUGUGAUGUAAUUUCUUGUAUAAAAGCUAUGUAUCUUUACUACUUCUUUAGCCCUCCUACCGCGAGCUUAUCUUGCGAUGGGACGGCUCAUCCUCCGGAGGUUUUUCAAUAAACAACUUUUCUGCCUUCUACUGAGGGAUCUCUGAGUAGUCAUUUUGGGUAAGGGUCUUCUACAUCCCUCACAGAUGGGGGCUCGUCCGGGAUGGGGUCUUUGGGGGAGAUGGCUAUGUGCACCCCGAACAGGGACAGGCGCCCACAGAGUAGUUUUCUCCAUGGUCUCUGGCUCUGGGUGAGCAGCCUCCCUCCCCUCUUAGACAACGACCCAAAGCAGGAAUACUCAGUGGAACGCAGAAUUGAAGAUUGAAAGAAGUAGAGUCCCGAUGGCCGGCAUUUGCAGCCUGAAAAGAAACAUAUGUUCUCGAGAUUUUGGUCAAAUUACAGAUUAUUGAAUCUCUUCUGAGACAUGGAUCGGCCCAUCUGGAGCUUAGAUUGACACCACACCCACACCCCUGCAUGAAUUGAGCACCUUCGCCCAUUUCUCAGCCUGAAGCAGCUAAGAUCGAGACUAUCGCCAGUGCUCCUGAUGUAAUUUGGACUGAUAUGGGGGAAGUGGGAAAGUGGUUGAUGAAUUAUUGUUAAAAUUACAACUCUAUUACUAGAGUUAGAAAAAAUGCAAACAUUACUGUGUGUUUAAGAUUUGGGAUGGAAAUUAUUAAAAAUGGUAACUAUUGCUGUUAAGGAAGUUAUAAUAUGUUUAUAAUAUCUAUGUUCACUUCAGAAUAUGUAAUUGUUUAAGGUAUUUGAUUUGAUUUGAUUUGAUUGAUUUUAGGAAACUCCUCCUGUACUAGACUGUUAUGUAUGUAGGAACUUUAAUUCACUCUUGGGAUUUAUAUGUGGAUGGUUAUUUGACUAUUUAUUAUUAUUAUUUUUUGGAUGAUUCCUUUCCAUGAGGAAAAAAAAAAUGGAGAGGAAGAGAUAGGGAACUAGGGAAACUGGUGGAUUUUUCUCAAAAUACCUAAAAGAGUGGGAACCCUUAGUUUUCUUUCACUUUUGCCUUACGUACUUCUGCCCCACCCCCUAUACCACCAGUUCAGAUUAAAUUGGAAGUCCUUAAGCAAUCUUUUUUGUUUUUACUAUGUUUUAGCUUUGAAAUCCCUCAUUCUGUGGAAUUGCCCUGGCAGACUCAGUUUUGGGAACUAUUCUGUUUUAAAGAAAUCUCUAAGAUAAAGACACUUGUCUCAGGACUGGCAAUCUCCAGCUCUGUAACCCCAGUUUCUUAACUGGUACCUCAGCAUUUUUAAUAACAUUGCCCUUUUGAGAUCAAGCCUCUAAAGUUUGGGGUUUGCCUACCUUCAUGUUCUAACUGUGCAUGCUCUCAUAGCUCUGCUCAGAAAUCUGUAUUCUAGUAGCAGCCCUGUCUGUCCCCCUGGGUGGGGACAGGUGGAGCUACUCCAAGCCUCACCCUUCUCCCCUGGAGUGGGUUGCCCCUCUGAAUGGGCAGCAUGACUGUCUCGAGCCUUGCUACUCCCUCUAUAAGCAGAAGCUGAGUUAAGUGCACAAAUGACUGCAGACCCCCUAACACAGUGAACUGUCCAUCUCAAACUGGAUUCUCUGGCUGAGAUGAGGGCCUUUGUACUGCUGAUAACUCUGGGGUUGUCAGGAAGAGACUUGUCCUUGCCAUAAGUCCUUGCAUUUUCUAGGUUCAUUUUGAUUUAUUUGCCUCACAUUGGAUUGGUCAAAAUUAUGGUGCUGAGACCUCCCAGGUAUCUUAGGGAGGUAAUUCAAUAAUUCAAAUAUUCAGAAGAAGAGUGUGUAAUGUUGUGCCUCAGUUUCCCUAGUUGUCAUCUUUAUUUAUCUUUGUAUUUUUAUGUUUGCCAAAUGUCAAUCUGUUCUGUGAUAACUGUUUCUAAGAUAGUUGGUGGAAGCAAUUUUUAUGGUAUGAACUUAUUGCAAUCAAUGGUAUUAUCCUGUUGCUGCUAUGUCUAUCCUGUAUAAUUACAUUACUAACCAGAAUAGUUCAGUGGUCCCUAUCAAAAUAUUGCAUACAGAAGAUGCUAUUAAAAUGAUGAUUCUUCAGAGAAAAGACUGGAAUGUAUUAAAGAGGGAUGAUCUUGAUUGUGAACUUGAUAAACAAUGUAUAGAUAUAUUAACUGAUUUUGAAAAGUGUGUAAGUUCUUCAUAGAAAUAUGAUAAAAAUCAUUUACAUGUUAGAAGGGGGGAGCUGUGGGGAAUAGAUAAGGUGAAGAACUUACAGGAAUGUAUGAAUUCUUUUUCUGUAUUUUAUUAUUUCUGUGUCUCCCCUAUGACCUGUAUAUGUGCAGGCUCAUAUCUACUUGAGCCUUGGCCAGCUAGAAACAUAUUUACUUAACCUGAACUGAUGACAUUUAUUGGUAUUUGACAUUUAUCAAUAUUUAGUCUAUUAGCUGGACCACUGUCUGCUUGAUUAAGCCUGAAGGCCUGACUUUGUUUCCCAGAAAUCAGGAGAUUUCAGGGAAACAGAAACCUUCCAUUCCAAUCUCCCCAACUAGCAACAACCAAUUAGAUGCUUCCCCCUCCCCUUUCAAUGCUCUCUUACUUGUGAUGUAAUUUCUUGUAUAAAAGCUAUGUAUCUUUACUACUUCUUUAGCCCUCCUACCGCGAGCUUAUCUUGCGAUGGGACGGCUCAUCCUCCGGAGGUUUUUCAAUAAACAACUUUUCUGCCUUCUA